AACGAACGCUGGCGGCGCGCCUAAUACAUGCAAGUCGAGCGAGAAGACGUAGCAAUACGUUUGUAAAGCGGCGAACGGGUGAGGAAUACAUGGGUAACCUACCCUCGAGUGGGGAAUAACUAGCCGAAAGGUUAGCUAAUACCGCGUACGCUCCUUGGACUUCGGUUCAGGGAGGAAAGCGAUACCGUGGGUAUCGCGCUCUUGGAUGGGCUCAUGUCCUAUCAGCUUGUUGGUGAGGUAACGGCUCACCAAGGCUUCGACGGGUAGCUGGUCUGAGAGGACGAUCAGCCACACUGGCACUGCGACACGGGCCAGACUCCUACGGGAGGCAGCAGUAAGGAAUAUUGCGCAAUGGGCGAAAGCCUGACGCAGCGACGCCGCGUGGGGGAUGAAGGUCUUCGGAUUGUAAACCCCUUUCGGGAGGGAAGAUGGAACGAGCAAUCGUUCGGACGGUACCUCCAGAAGCA
rnacentral:rRNA from 1 species